GUUGUGAAUGAUUGUUUUGAUGAGGUCAGGUUUGUCCUCAGCCAGAGUGGGGGUGUUGAGAGUAUGGGAUGUCGUGCGAGAUCAGCGCCAUACACACAUCACCAAGCUGGGAGCACAGAAUACUUUUUGUCUGCUGUCGUCUGUUUCUCAUCCUUGCAUCUGGCAAGAAUUAGGGGGGUAGUAUUCUGUGCUCCCAGCUUGGUGAUGAGUGUAUGGCGCUGAUCUCGCACGACAGCUGUCACGCUGAAUCAUUGCUAUCGCUGAAUCAUGGUUGACAGUCAGUUAGUUAUUCUGUUACCCUAUAUUCUUAGACUGGCACAACAACUGGGCCAGCCAGUUGUUGAGAAAUGGAUGUUUACACUCCAAGGUUGGCUAUAACCAUCCAACAGAGGAGUUUGUUUGCAUGGAUUCUGUGCUUGCUGUUCACUGCUGCACUCCCGCACGAUGCAGCACAGCACUUAUUCUUCAUACACAAGACAUACUCAGCUUCAGUACAUGGUGACCAGGCCUGCUCCCUUGUGCCCCUCCCAGGGCAAGGGAAGACUACUCCAUCAUCUGCUCGGUUACAAUGCUGAGAAUAGGUGAUGUCAAUUCCAGACCAUUGGAUAUAACUGGCUACAACACAAAGUCUAAUCCAAUGUAUUGCACAAAUUCUCAACAAUUGGCUGGCCCAGUUGUUGUGCCAGUCUAAGAAUAUAGGGUAACAGAAAAACUAACUGACUGUUAACCAUGAUUCAGCAAUAGCAAUGAUUCAGCGUGACAGGGAGAGUUUAUUCAGGGCUAGAAUAUGUUUUGCCUUGACUUUACGGCCAAAGAGGGAUACAAAUUUGUUCCCGUCAAUGAUAUGUGCGAGGUCAUCAGUCAGCAGAGCUGAGAGCCUGCUUAUGCCUAUUUCCAUAAGGGCAUAUGUACAAUGACAGGCCAGGGUUUUGAGGGUGGGUUGCAUUGGC
rnacentral:lncRNA from 1 species